AAAAAGACAAACCCUGGUUUUCGUGCUCAACGUUUGACCGUCUGUCUUAUUUGAAAAAAAUAUUAAAAAAAUUAAAAAGACAAGUCACGCAUAAAAUAUUAAUCAUGUUUUAUCAUCUACAACAAUAAAAAUACGAAUUAUAAAAAAAAUUUCAUAUAAGACGGACAGUCAAAGUUGGACACGGAAACUCAGGGUUUGCCUUUUU
rnacentral:pre_miRNA from 1 species